UUGCUCGAACAUACUAUCGAACAACGCUUAUGGCUCUUUAAACGGGCUUUAGCUUUGAAAAUUUUUCGGCAAUAGUUACAUUGGAAGCCUUCCUUUUUAUCUGAUUUAUUAGUGUUUUCAAUCUGAUCUUCAAGGUACUUUGAAUCCUGAUUUUUGGUUUUUGGAAGUGACCUUGGUGUUAUGCUAAUUGUAGGCAGCGCUUUGAAGAGGAUUUGAUGACUUCCACUAGGUUUUGUAAGGAUUUGCUAUUUUGUACGGUCGUGUUUGGCGGAAGUUCUUGAAGACAGGCAAAACAGCAAUAUUGCAUUGUAACGACACUAUGACACCCUUUGUAAAUAUCAAUAUCCUUUGACAUGUCUGUAAGGAUGCCACUAAAUACUAUUCAACUACUAAAUUGAGGAUUGGUGCCAGAUGUAAUUUAUGAAUUCAAAUAUCAACUAAAUGCAAUCAAAGUGAUUAUAUUUAACGAAAUUCUAUUUCCUGUUUGUACUAACACAAAUAAGGUACUCAAAAUUAUAGUUUAAGCGAUAAAUUGUUUUAUUGAAUAUUUGGAAAGCGAUACAAUAUAUUUUAACAUUAUUGAAUGCAUAGUAGUGACACCUUUUUAUAAAGUAAUAACUGUAAAUAUGUAAAAAGUGUUUGAACAUAAGUAGGGUUAUGUAUUAGCCACAUAAAACUAAAAUCUAAAAACGCAAACUUAUUUAUAACAGUCAAAAUAUUGUAAUACUGUAUGUGAUCAUAUAAAUAUAUAUUUGUAAAUUGUAAAUGUAUUGUAUAAUUAUAAUUUUUUAUAUAUUCUUACAAAUAACAGAGUCUUUGUGAAUAAACAUCGUUGCAAAAACAGAAAUAAUUUCUGUACUAAAUCAGUUUUCUUAAAAGUGUAAAAUUAUUCGACUUAUAUUAAUACUAACAAUACAACCUCUUGAAACGUCAUAAAAUUAGGCUUUACGCAUACAUAAUUCUGUCAUAAAAUGUAAAAUAGAUAAAUUGCAUUAUGCUUUAGGUACCCAUUGAGAAAUGUGCGGCCGAUAUAACGCUAGGUUUUAAUUUAAAAUAAAAAAAUAAAAUUCUGCACAUGUUUUGCAUUUAUCUACGAAUAUAUGAGUACCUACAUACGUAUAUGCAUAUUUUAUGUAUUAAUAUUGUUGCUUUAUAUAUUAUUUCUUUAACACUUUUAUUGCAGAUUAAUACAGGUAAAGCAAAAUAUAUUUAUAUUCGCAUCUAUGUAUGUAUGUCUGCAUAAUAAUUAAUGACAACAAAAUUAUUGUAAUGAUAUGGUUAGGGUUUAAAAGAAUUUGUGACACUUGUUAGUUAAUGAAAUAAACAUUUUUAAUGCGUUUGUUAAAGAUAUUUCUAAAAGUAAUGUUAUUGUAUAACAAAAUAACAAAAGUAAUUUGUUUAUGUUAUAAGUAAAAACAUGUAUAUAAUGUUGGUAAUAAGAAAAAAUAUAAAAUAUAGAAUUUCAUGUAUCACAGUUUUCGCCAAAAAUUUCUUACUUACCACUGAAUUUAUAGAAAAACAAAACAUGAUCCGUACUGGCAUUUGAAUGUAAUAAGCUUAUGAAAUGUUACGUUAAUUAAAACAAUAAAAAGUACAGGGACACUUAACAUA